rnacentral:lncRNA from 1 species
CAUCCGGAAGUUUCUGACAGUGAGGAGAGGUGUUAACAGCUGCCAUGAAAGGGCUACUGAACUUGGUUCUCCUUGGACUCCAAAAUGCCCAAACAACUCAUUAAAAAUGGUAAGGAACUGAUCCCAUUGACAGAAACUUUGUCUUCCUUUGGAUGCAAGUACAUGCACAUGAGGAAAGGAUUAAAACAAUAUCUUACAUCCUACUACUGGUGAUCUCUGUUGCGCUGUGGCCAAGGCAAGCUGACGGUGUUGGAAUGGGACUCACAGGAUGUGUUUUCAUCUGAAGACUGUCUCAGCUCAGUGUUUUCCACUGUCUUAGAUGGGGGCUUAGGAUUCAGGCUGUCCUGUGGGGCUUCAAGCUACUUGAUCAUUCCAGUGUAGGGGUUUGCUGCCUCAUUGGAUAUGUCUGGUCAACUGCUCUCUGGGCCUGUGCUGCUGACCAGGUUAAACAUUCCUUCUGCCCCUUUAUUUCAAGUGUUGGAUUAAGGGUGGAUUUAUAUCAAUGUAAAUUGGCACAGCUGACAUAACUUACUGCAGUAUGAGUUUGGGGAUGAAUAUCUCUGGGCAGGAAUGUGCAAAAGCUCAUUUGUAUUUUUUUGUAUAAUAGAAUGAGGAAAAAUCGUUUCUUUUAUUUCUUUCCUCCAAGACUUUUCCAAGUCUUGUUCUUUACACAGUAUGGCU